AUUGCUCACCAUUCUCAAGCUUGAAAACCCACCUGCAAUCAUUUGGGCGGGGGGGGGGGGGCAUCUUUAAGCGCCCAGGUGAACUUGGUCUGCAGGCAGCAGCUGUCCUUUUCUCUGGAUCUUCUGCUGAGGUCGGUAGGUUGAUAAGUGAUACUGAUUUUGUGGCAGGAACUCCCUUCAGCCAACUCCUGUCUUCCUGGGAAGGCCUCUGGAAGAAACCAGUAUCAGAAAGAAUCUUGUAGUUGCCUGUGGCAGAAGAUCCGACCCAAACUGAGCAAAACCAGUUUCAAACGAAUCUGGUUUGAAACUUCCGAAGAAUCUACCUCUUGAAGAUUACAAAUGAGACUGGGAAACCCUCUUCAAUAAGACCUGUGUGAUGAUAGAUUGUGUCCUGAGCCCGCAGGUCAGGCUGAAAGAGUCAACAACCAGCAAAGUGAAGAUCUAGGAGUCUGUUCCCCUUGAACCUGUGUGGACCUGAUCAAACCUCGAGGGAAAGGCUGGGAGAACACAUCCCUGGUCAGCUGUAGGAAAGCCAGAGAGCAUUUGAGAAGAGGCUGAAGC
rnacentral:lncRNA from 1 species